ACGCGCCUACCAUGGUCGUAACGGGUAACGGGGAAUCAGGGUUCGAUUCCGGAGAGGGAGCCUGAGAAACGGCUACCACAUCCAAGGAAGGCAGCAGGCGCGCAAAUUACCCACUCCCAGAACGGGGAGGUAGUGACGAAAAAUAACAAUACGGGACUCUUUUGAGACCCCGUAAUUGGAAUGAGUACACUCUAAAUCCUUUAACGAGGAUCCAUUCGAGAGCAAGUCUGGUGCCAGCCGUCGCGGUAAUUCCAGCUCGAAUAGCGUAUAUUAAAGUUGUUGCGGUUAAAAAGCUCGUAGUUGGAUCUCAGUUCCAGACGGACGGUCCGCCCACCGGCGGUUACUGCCUGUUCUGAACAGCCGGUCGGUUUCUUUUGAUGAUCUUCACCGGUUGUCUUGGGUGACCGGCAAGUUUACUUUGAAAAAAUUAGAGUGCUCAAAGCAGGCGUGACGCCUGAAUAAUGUUGCAUGGAAUAAUGGAAUAGGAUCUCGGUUCUAUUUUGUUGGUUUUCGGAACACGAGGUAAUGAUUAAGAGGGACAGACGGGGGCAUUCGUAUUGCGACGCUAGAGGUGAAAUUCUUGGACCGUCGCAAGACGAACUACUGCGAAAGCAUUUGCCAAGAAUGUUUCCAUUAAUCAAGAACGAAAGUUAGAGGUUCGAAGGCGAUCAGAUACCGCCCUAGUUCUAACCAUAAACGAUGCCAGCCAGCGAUCCGGCUGUGUUCCUCAAAUGACACGUCGGGCAGCUUCCGGGAAACCAAAGCUUUUGGGUUCCGGGGGAAGUAUGGUUGCAAAACUUAAACUUAAAGGAAUUGACGGAAGGGCACCACCAGGCAUGGAGCUUGCGGCUCAAUUUGACUCAACACGGGAAAACUCACCCGGCCCGGACACAGGAAGGAUUGACAGAUUAAGAGCUCUUUCUUGAUUCUGUGGGUGGUGGUGCAUGGCCGUUCUUAGUUCGUGGGGCGACUUGUCUGGUUAAUUCCGAUAACGAACGAGAUCCUAGCCUACUAAAUAGGCGUUCCGAUCAUUUAAGUCGGACGUUCUUCUUAGAGGGACAGGCGGCGUCUAGCCGCACGAGACAGGGCAAUAACAGGUCUGUGAUGCCCUUAGAUGUCCGGGGCCGCACGCGUGCUACAUUGAAGGAAUCAGCAUGUGCUCUCCCUAUCCGACAGGAAUGGGUAACCCGCUGAAACUCCUUCGUGCUUGGAAUAGAAAAAUGCAACUGGUUUCUUGAACGAGGAAUUCCCAGUAAGCGCAGGUCAUUAGCUUGUGUUGACUACGUCCCUGCCCUUUGUCCACACCGCCCGUCGCUGCUACCGAUUGAAUGAUUUAGUGAGAUCUUUGGACUGGCGCUCGUAACGGCCCUCUGGGUCGUGGCGGCGUGCCGGAAAGAUGACCAAACUUGAUCAUUUAGAGGAAGUAAA
rnacentral:rRNA from 1 species